rnacentral:rRNA from 1 species
AGUAACGCGUAGGUAGCCUACCUCAUAGCGGGGGAUAACUAUUGGAAACGAUAGCUAAUACCGCAUAAGAGAGACUAACGCAUGUUAGUAAUUUAAAAGGGGCAAUUGCUCCACUAUGAGAUGGACCUGCGUUGUAUUAGCUAGUUGGUGAGGUAAAGGCUCACCAAGGCGACGAUACAUAGCCGACCUGAGAGGGUGAUCGGCCACACUGGGACUGAGACACGGCCCAG